rnacentral:misc_RNA from 1 species
GUCCUCAGCAAAUUUGACUAAAAACAACAAGCUUCUCAUCAAGCUCAAUCCAAUUCUCUCUAAGUCGGCUUGUCUCAAUCUCCACCAAUGGUUCAAAGGCAUCCUCCAACCAAAAGAUUUUGCCUUGUUUUAGAAUGUAGUAGUGUCGUCUCCAGGUUUCGAUAGUCCCUUGCUUCAUCAUCUCAAUUUUUUGGGCUUCAGAUUAGUGAUGCGACCAAGGAUGGUGUUUG